GGAACGGUGUAUGACAGUUAGCACCCGGUGUGUGGGCGCUUAUGCUCCUCUUCUUUGCCGGGCCCCAACCUAAAUCCCGGCCCUCGGACUCAGGAAGAGGCUGUCUUCGGAGGCUGCAAACGCGUACUUGAUGUCACCGCCUGGGGGUGCGGAUGAAUAAACUGCGCCGAGAAGAGAGCGGAAAACCGAAAGUGCACCUGUCGCACAGGGCCUGAGUCCUCCCGGAGCGUAAAGCGCUCUCACACAUGGAUAAGCAAAGAACACGAUCCUAACGGGAGGGGUAAUGCGCGCGGCACUGAGCGCAGCCCCCGCAUGGUACCGCCUCCCGGCGCACCUGCGCUCGCUGUGGCCGCCCGGCUCCUUCGGCAGCCCGCACGCACCCCCUCGGCAGACGCCGGUAGCAGAAAGAGGUCGCGGGCGUGCACAGAGGUGGGCACAGAGGUUGGCAGAGGCAGGGGCUGGUCCGCGCGGUCCCCUUCCAAGGGUUGGAGAGCCCGGGAAAGGCUAUGUAUUUUCACUUCUAACGGAAGGCACAAGUGGUUAAACACAGAUCUUUUUUAAGCCUAUGAAAAGUGUUUUUCACAGGAUGUAGAGUUGAUCGCCAGUCUGCAGUCAGGCCUUCCCAGCACCGCGGCUGUCUUUGACAACUAGCAUCUGUUUCUCGAGCUGUCGCUUCCAUCAGCGAGGACACGGGACGACAGAUAGGAACAUGAGUACCCUGCAGCAGGCAUGAAAGUGGAGACAUGCUAGUUAGAAGCAGGUUCAUGAGGAAACAGGAGGAGAGGUUCAGAGGCCCAAGAAGAGACAGGAAAGGGAUGUCCCGGCAGCGCUGGCUUUCAUAGUCCCAUGAAGAGACCGCUGGCCCAGUCGGUGUGGCUAGUGGUUGAGCAUCUACCUAUGAAGCAGGAGGUCACGGUUCAAUUACCGGUCAGGGCACAUGCCCAGGUGUGGGCUCGAUCCCCAGUAGGGCGUGUGCAGAAGGCAGUUGAUCCGUGAUCCUCUCUCAUUGAUGUUUCUAUCUUUCUCUUCCUCUCCUUUCCUCUCUGAAAUCAAUAAAAAUGUUUUUU